rnacentral:lncRNA from 1 species
GCUUCAGGAGUGUUUAAAGAAGUCUAGAAGUGUCCUGAAGUCAGUGCAAAGAUAGGGUCAAGUCCAGGAGGGACUUAGACACCAUUUGGAGUAGUUUGGGCGAUGGUGCAAAGUUAGGGCGAGCGGUACGGACUGGUACGGAUCUGUACGGACCUGUACGGAUCCGUACGGACCGAGGUCGACCAAGAAAUGUUCAGACUCAACAAUUGGAGGAGAUUGGGAGUUGGUGCAAAAAUAUGGCGAGGUACGGACAGGCGGUCUGUACCAUCGACCGUACUUGUUCCGGAUCAACCUGAAAUGAAGCUGUGCAAACUUAGGGCGCAAGAGAAGACAAACCUGAGUUAUCUUGUGACUGUUUGUGGAUAAGGGAGAGCUAGGGCGUGGUCAAUGACAGGCUGUCUUUGAGCUGUAAAGGAAAAGCAGCCUUGACCAUGUAUCUAGCCAUCUUUGUGAACAAGGUUCAUGGGAGCCUUAAGGGAACCAAUCAGGAGCCAGCCCUUGCCUUGACCAGUUUGAAUCAACCAAUCAGCAUCCAUCACGUCCUCAGCAACCCACCAGACUCUAUCCUGGCCAUCCAUUUCAAUUCAGUCAUUUUUAUCCAUUAGAUUAAGGGUUUAUGAGUUUGCAAUGUGUAAAGCUUAUAAAUAAGCUAUGUAUGGACGUUUUUGUGUCUCUUAAGAGAGAGAGGGGGAUUUCUCCUCCUCCUUCGUAAUACAAAGUGUGUUCUUGGAUAAUAAUCCCUCAAACUAACCCUUUCUUAUACUUAAAUCUCUUAAUCUCUCUAAAUCUCUUGUUUCCGUCCAAGUUCAUACUGUUCUUAAUCAGACAUUUCUCUCUUCAGUUCAAGCUCUCAUUUCGCCCUUAGUGGCUUCUUCUCACACACACAGCCUGAGCUCUGAAAAUCUAACAUGGUAUCAGAGCCAAGUUCAUCAGAACUUGGUUCCAGCUUCUGCAUAUACAUCACAAGUCUAGCCUCAUCACAGAUCCAAACCAUUGAGGGCUGGUCGCUCUGGCUGGGAGAGACCUUGGUAGGUCGCUCUGAGAGGUCGCUCCAGGAUGCUCGAACAGGGUGGAUAUGCCCCGUGGGUUCUUGAUAUGAAAUGCUAUAUUGUAUUGUCUAGUUCAGUCCCAGGAUGCUUUAAGAGUCUUGUUUGAUGUUGAGAAAUAAAAUGCUUACCCGGUUUGGUUAUGAUUGUGCUAGGAUGUUAUAAACUGUCUAAAUCCUAUUAGCUUUCAUUAAACUGAAAUCACUUAAGGUUUUGCAUUGUCUGAUGUUGAUUGAUGAUUAAUAUUGCUUUUCCUCAGUUAUAAGUGAUGUGUGUUAGGAUAAUAGAAAGCCUUGGCUGAUCUUGUUGCAUACAUGAGCUAGAAACUGAUUAAGGUCACAGCAUAUUGUCAUCUUGUUGCUGCCUUAACAUUGAGCACAUAGAUGGAUGUCUAUGAUUGCGGAUUAAGGCAGGGGUGAUUGCCUAAGUAGCUUGUCUUGAAUCUGAUUUGAUCUUGCUUGUACUUAGAGAGAUUGCUUGCAAAGAUGUGAACUUGAUAAUGCUUGUUUCAAUCUGUUGCAUAGCUUGUGACAUUGGAGAUCAAACUUGAUGAUUAGUCAAGGAUUGAUCCCAAUGCUUGUGUCUUAUCUUUGCUCGAGUUUGAGUGAUGUUUCAGGUUCACAUGAUGUGCUAUUUGUCCAUAAUCAAUCUGAGUAGAAGAGGAAGACUUUACCCAAUGGGAAUGGUCGCUGGGGUGUAUGUGGAUACACAAGGCGAGUGGUCAUCACCUAAGUCUGGAGGAGACCGGUGACCAGAAGGCAUUGGAGAUAAAGGGAAGGGUUGAUCAAUGGUUGAAGCACACUCUAUGAGAUGUUGCGCUCCUGAUCUUAAGGCUCAUUGAGGCUAACUUCAAGCUUGGACCCAUACUCAAUCCAAGCUUGACGAGGGGAGCAAAGUGAGACACCUGAUAAUCCUGUUGCUCAAAUGACCUGUGUUACUCAAGGCCAUUGCAAGCUGAUCAUGGAGUGAUCCAGCCGAAGUGGAGGGAAGAAGAAAGUCACUCAACAAGCUAGUGUGAGGUGCUUGGAGAGUGGGCUGAGGUAUCUCCUCAGUGCAAUGGUGAUGUAGUGGAGGAUUCAAGCAUCAAGUCUGGAAGAGAUGGAGGUGCUCUCCACAAGGCUUAUCUUGGAGCUAUCAUGCGCUCACCAUCACGCUUGGACCUUCUCUAUACUCGGUCUCAAGCUUGAGGAGGAGUGUGGAUGAGCUUGCAUGAUAAGAGAAGGAGCUGUUAAGCUCAACAAGUGAGGGAUUCAAGUGGCGUGUGAAGAGCAGCCACUCCUCACCAUUUAUACAAGGGAGUAAACCUGAUCUUUAUCUCUUUAUAUACAUUCAUGAUAGGUUUAUCUCUUGAGAACUGAUACACUUGUGGAAUGAUGUAUCAGGUACCUUACUUGGAUUCUCAAUGAAGAGGGGGUGAUCUUACCUGAUGGAGAUGGCGAGAAACCAUGAGAGAAGGGAAGACACAAACCGAGUUCAAGAAGAAGUCCAAGAAGAGUGCUGAAGUGAAGAGGCCGUGAUCCAGAGCCUAUGUACCUAAACCGUUUGUGUCAAUCAAGCAAUCAUUAAGAACAAAUCAUUCAACUUUCUAAACUCCCCUAACAUCAAAUGACUUUGGUAGGGUAAGCUAAGAGCAUGUUGCGUUGGCUCAGACAUUUCAUCGAACACCUUCCGAAAAAUGAAAUGUCUAGAUUUCUAAUCUAAAAUGGCCAACUCUAGAUUAGCAUUAAGAUCACUCAAUCAAGCAAGGAAACAUAUUAAUCUACUCUAAACAUUCUAGAUCAUCACUUAAUCAUCCUAAUCAUCCUAACCCAUGAAUCCAAACAUAGUCCGAUUAAGAGAAAUCAUGUUAAGAAGAUGAGAUAGACUCAAAUUACUCAAGGAAGAAAGAUUAUAUUACUAAAGAUUCAAACUUUCUCCAAAAUAUCAAUGUAUUUUUAAGAGAAAACAAGAUAUGGUCCAUGUUUUUGGACUAAAACUAUUUAUAAUAGCUUAAAACUCGAAUCGGGUCAACCCAACAAACUCGGGUUUACCUAAACCUCGGUGAUACUAAGACACAUAGGCUCACUGGCCAAUCCCCAGACCUUGUUGGCUCUACUCUUUUUCCCUCAUCAAAGUUUUGUCCCAAAGGGUUUUCCUUAGUGAGGUUUUUAAUGAGGGAGUUAUUCAAGGUUCUAAGCUUGACUUAGGAUCGCCUAGAGUCAAGCUUGAGGAGGAGUGUUGACUUGAAGAAAGAAAUGGAGCCAAAAGAGGAGUUGGUUGAGUUUGGGUCUUGAUGAAGGAUAGGGCAAGAUCUUCAAAGAUUGCCUGUCAAGGCUUCAGGAGUGUUUAAAGAAGUCUAGAAGUGUCCUGAAGUCAGUGCAAAGAUAGGGUCAAGUCCAGGAGGGACUUAGACACCAUUUGGAGUAGUUUGGGCGAUGGUGCAAAGUUAGGGCGAGCGGUACGGACUGGUACGGAUCUGUACGGACCUGUACGGAUCCGUACGGACCGAGGUCGACCAAGAAAUGUUCAGACUCAACAAUUUGAGGAGAUUGGGAGUUGGUGCAAAAAUAGGGCGAGGUACGGACAGGCGGUCCGUACCAUCGACCUUACUUGUUCCGGAUCAACCUGAAAUGAAGCUGUGCAAACUUAGGGCGCAAGAGAAGACAAACCUGAGUUAUCUUGUGAUUGUUUGUGGAUAAGGGAGAGCUAGGGCGUGGUCAAUGACAGGCUGUCUUUGAGCUGUAAAGGAAAAGCAGCCUUGACCAUGUAUCUAGCCAUCUUUGUGAACAAGGUUCAUGGGAGCCUUAAGGGAACCAAUCAGGAGCCAGCCCUUGCCUUGACCAGUUUGAAUCAACCAAUCAGCAUCCA